AACGCUGGCGGCAGGCUUAACACAUGCAAGUCGAGCGCCCCGCAAGGGGAGCGGCAGACGGGUGAGUAACGCGUGGGAAUCUACCCUUUUCUACGGAAUAACGCAGGGAAACUUGUGCUAAUACCGUAUACGCCCUUCGGGGGAAAGAUUUAUCGGGAAAGGAUGAGCCCGCGUUGGAUUAGCUAGUUGGUGGGGUAAAGGCCUACCAAGGCGACGAUCCAUAGCUGGUCUGAGAGGAUGAUCAGCCACAUUGGGACUGAGACACGGCCCAAACUCCUACGGGAGGCAGCAGUGGGGAAUAUUGGACAAUGGGCGCAAGCCUGAUCCAGCCAUGCCGCGUGAGUGAUGAAGGCCCUAGGGUUGUAAAGCUCUUUCACCGGUGAAGAUAAUGACGGUAACCGGAGAAGAAGCCCCGGCUAACUUCGUGCCAGCAGCCGCGGUAAUACGAAGGGGGCUAGCGUUGUUCGGAAUUACUGGGCGUAAAGCGCACGUAGGCGGACAUUUAAGUCAGGGGUGAAAUCCCGGGGCUCAACCCCGGAACUGCCUUUGAUACUGGGUGUCUAGAGUAUGGAAGAGGUGAGUGGAAUUCCGAGUGUAGAGGUGAAA
rnacentral:rRNA from 1 species